rnacentral:rRNA from 1 species
GACGUGCGCAGGCGGUUAUAUAAGACAGAUGUGAAAUCCCCGGGCCUCAACCUGGGAACUGCAUUUGUGACUGUAUAGCUAGAGUACGGUAGAGGGGGAGUGGAAUUCCGCGUGUAGCAGUGAAAUGCGUAGAUAUGCGGAGGAACACCGAUGGCGAAGGCAAUCCCCUGGACCUGUACUGACGCUCAUGCACGAAAGCGUGGGGAGCAAACAGGAUUAGAUACCCCUGU